GAUGAACGCUGGCGGCGUGCCUAAUACAUGCAAGUCGAGCGAACGGACGAGAAGCUUGCUUCUCUGAUGUUAGCGGCGGACGGGUGAGUAACACGUGGAUAACCUACCUAUAAGACUGGGAUAACUUCGGGAAACCGGAGCUAAUACCGGAUAAUAUUUUGAACCGCAUGGUUCAAAAGUGAAAGACGGUCUUGCUGUCACUUCUAGAUGGAUCCGCGCUGCAUUAGCUAGUUGGUAAGGUAACGGCUUACCAAGGCAACGAUGCAUAGCCGACCUGAGAGGGUGAUCGGCCACACUGGAACUGAGACACGGUCCAGACUCCUACGGGAGGCAGCAGUAGGGAAUCGUCCGCAAUGGGCGAAAGCCUGACGGAGCAACGCCACGUGAGUGAUGAAGGUCUUCGGAUCGUAAAACUCUGUUAUUAGGGAAGAACAUAUGUGUAAGUAACUGUGCACAUCUUGACGGUACCUAAUCAGAAAGCCACGGCUAACUACGUG
rnacentral:rRNA from 1 species